CUACGGGACGCAGCAGUUAGGUAUAAUCUACAAUGCGCGCAAGCGUGAUAGUUUGAGCCAGAGUGUUUUUCAUUGAAAGACUUUUAUGGAAUGUAAAAAGUUCCACGAAUAAGGACUGGGUAAGACUAGUGCCAGCCGCCGCGGUAAUACUAGCGGUCCAAGUCGCAGCCAUUUUUAUUGGGUCUAAAACAUCCGUAGCUUGCUUGAUAAGUCUUCUGUGAAAUUUUAUAUCUCAAAUAUGAAGCGUGCAGAAGGUACUGUCAAGCUAGAGACUGGUAGACGUAAAGAGUAUGUUCAGAGUAGCGGUAAAAUGUGUUAAUCCUGGACAGACUAACAAGAGCGAAGGCACUUUACGAGAACAGUUCUGACAGUAAGGGAUGAAGGCUAGGGGCGCAAAACGGAUUAGAUACCCCAGUAGUC
rnacentral:rRNA from 1 species